UUUUUCUUCUGCAAAACAGUUUGGCCUUGAUUUUUCAAAUAGCCAUAACUUUUUACUCGUUCAUCCAAAUUAGAUGAAACCAGCACCUAUAGUGUCAUCUUGUUUUCACCUAUCCAGUUAACCUGUCACGUCAACUUUUUGAAAUUUUCAAAUUUCGAAAUUUGUUCAAAUUCAUAUUCAAACUUCUUUUGUUCAUAACUUAAGUUCCGUAACUCCGUUUGAGUUGAUUCUUUUUGCAAAGCGAAGCUCUUGACCUAAACUUUUUGAUAAGGCCAAAUCCAUCUAAUUUUGGUACUGUUAGAAACUGUUUUAUGUUGCAAGAGUUAUUUGCUUGUUUUCGAAGUUUUCUGUGAUCUUUUCUUCGAUUCUUUUGCUUGAUUGCUUAUGUGUGGUUACUAUUGCUUGCUCACGAUAGAUUGACCGGAGUGUGACGAGUAGAUCUAUCUAGAGUAUUGAGUGCGAAUCAUCUUCAUCAACAUUGCAGGCAAGUUCACACUUUGAUCAUACCUCUUUUACUACCCAGUUUUAUUGCAUUAGACAAAUCCUCAAACAUUGCAUGGUUAGGAUCUAAAUUAAUUGUGGGUAUUGGGAAGUAGUUGAGGUAGUACCUAUUGCCCUGUUUAUUAUCAAACCCUUGGGAGUUACUUCUAUGUUUGCUUAUAUCGCCAUGCUAUGCUAGUAGACGUGGAUUGGGUUUGAGAGAUAUUCACGACAGAUGUGAGAUUGUUAAUUAAUGGUUUACUUAAGGUGGCAACUAAAACUCACAUCUGGGUGGAUUGAGGCACCUGGAGAACCCAGUGUUGCCUGUUUUUCUAAGGACCGCCACCCAGGUUCAAAGGGAUCAUGAGAUUAUUCAUGCUAGAAACUUCCAUGUGCAGCCACAAGCUAUUAUGGGCUCUAGCAUAGUUGAGUAGGUUACAUGAUCUCUUGAAGAGGUGGGCUAGCAGAUGUAGGGGAAAGUAGGUGUAACUGUCCACCUAGAGUAAAGAGUUAUUGUUUCUAAAAGACUGUGUCUCGGUCAUCCGUUUCUCUAACAUCAUGUAGUGCGAGAAUCAAGCGGACGCGAUCGAGUUUUGUGGGGAAAAGUGCGCUAUCCUCUGCAGAGUGUACAAACUAAUCAUGGUUAGCCGUGUCCCCGGUUAUGGACAACUUGAGUAUCUAGUACUUGGAUUAUCAUGUGAAUCUCAUCAUGUUACUUCAUUAAUUUUGUUGGGUUAAUGAUGAUACUUAAUUGGGAUUGAGAUGCUGUCAACCAUCUCAAUGUUUCAUAACCACCAUGAUAGUUAAAUAAAAUUUAUUCCUUUGCAGUAGGGAAAAUUUGGCUUUUCGCAAAAACAUUAUAACCAUAGAGAUUUUCCACCAGCCAUAUAUGCAUGUAGUCAUAGCCUUUGUUCAUCAUUUCUCUAUGGUGUGAAUUUGCCAGCAUAUUCCAUGUGCUGACCCGUUUUCGGGCUGCAACGUUUCAUGUUGCAGGAUUCUUACGACGAGUAAGUGAUACGUUAGGGUUAUGAUUUCUACACUCAACUUUGCCGUUGGUGUUGAUGGGAAUCCACACCUUGUUACUUCCGCUAUUUGGAUUGAGGUAAUAGUAUUUACGUUACUUUAUGCAUGUGAUUUACCUCUGUGAUAAAUCCUCGAGUACUGUGUGUGUCAGCAUACCGAUCCAGGGAUGACACUUAAGCACAGAGACUUGAUCCAUUCGGGUCGGGUCGCUACAAGAUGGUAUCAGAGCACAUGUUGACUAUAGGACGUGACCCUAGAAACUGGCAAUCCCAUAGGAAGGAUUUUCCCUAAAACUUUCCUUUUCAAAAAGAUCUUUUACCUCUCUCCUUUUCUGAGCUUAUUCAAAUAUUCCCUUUAAGUGAGACCAUACCCUUUUUCCUUUUGGACCACUCGAAGAUUCGACGGAUAAGACCACUUCAAGAAGUACAGGAUAUCGGACAACUAAGACCAUUCAGAAUGAAGAGGAUUUUACCGUGCAUUAUGAUAAUGGAAACUACAACGGUUGAAGACUCCGAAGACUGGGAGAAUUUGAAGGCUCUGAAGAAUUGCCAGAUGUGUAUGACCUAGGAAGGUUACCCUUAUGGAACUUGGCAGACUAUGGAAGCCGUCAAUGCCCGAGAUCAAGGUGUAUCGGAGAAAGACCGAAACAUGGAGAGUUAGAAACUCAAAGUUUUUGUUAAGAAAACCCAAAGAUAGGAGAUAUCAGUUAUGGAAUGAAAGCUCAUGGCAGUAACAUGGGCAUAAACACGGCUAUGUUAUCGUCCGCUUAUGCUAUUGUCACCGUGCCGAGUUAAGCAUGCAUAUGCAUGGAAGGAUUGGAUGGUAGAAGGCUGAUGGAGCACCUAUCAGCAAGAUGAAGUUUUAACUUUAGACCGGUGUAUCACCAGGAUCUGGAGUAUUACAUCAAGAAGUUUUUGACAAAGAAGUGUUUCGUGAAGAACUUAGAACCCAGAAACUGAAAGUAGCCAAGCUGGAAAGCAAAACCUCGAGAUAACGGAGACUCGUCAGGAACUGAAGGACAGUAGGAUCAUGGUUCAUGUCAAGGAUGUUGAGACCCAGAAGUUGGAGCGCAACUCCAGAAAUAUUAAAGGACGUCACGAGAGACUUCGCGUCAACAGAGAUGAUUUGGCAAAAGAACUUGAGAAGGACAAGCAUGAUUGGAAGAAGCCAUCGGAGACAUUAACAAGACUUGAAGAGUUUGGUGACGUUGAAGACUUAUUGACCUUUAGAAGACCAAACCCCUGUUAUACCUACGUUAGAUGCGACGUUUGUGAGCUGUCAUUUGUUUGUUGUUUUUCCGACAGCCACAAUAAAAACCUGUCUCUUCAAAACUAUUGUUUGUAUUGUGUGCAUCCCUCUCGACCUCUCUUAUCUCACCCCAAACCCAUGGACCCAAUAGAGGAUGAAUGGAGAUGAGCUUGUAUUUUCUGGACCGAUGAGUCAAUUGGAGACGGACCGAUGGAUUCAGAACAUGGAGGAUCACAUGAAGAAUAACCCUAUAGUCGGAAAGGAUAUGACCCGGCAUGCUCUUCAAUGUUUUGAAAGAGGUGCUGCUACUUGGUGGAGGAUGUACCAAACCAUCAAUGGAUGGCAAGGAGUAACCACUUGGAAAGAAUUUAAGUGGACUCUACAAAGAUCUCGUCUUGUGUCCUAGAAAUUGAAGCCUUAUGGAAAGGAUAUGAAGAAACCUUGUGCAUACAAGCCCUGUGGAGAAAUAGGACACAACCAUAAGGAACACAAGGAUGAAUGCCCUAAUUGUGAAGGAAGUCACCCAGUUGAAGAAUGCCCAACUAGGCAGAUCACUUGUUUCUUGUGUGAAGGGACUACCCACUACCCUGCUCAGUGUCACAUCUACCCCAUGGUACAAAGGACCAUCCAGCAGAAGAAAGAAGCAAUGAAAAGAGCCCUCAUGGAAAUUUUAGAGGAAUCUGUGAUGAAGGAAGAGGUGGAGGACACACCCAAAGAAGAACCAAUUAAACCCUGCACCAAGUCAUGCUAUUCAUGUGGAGAAGAAGGACACAUCUCCCAAAAUUGUCUGAAUGGGGAUUUAGUAGAAUUCCCGACAGAGGAAGUAGAGUAUGACCCACAGGAAAUAGAAGCCCUGAUUGGAACGGAAAAGUCCAGGAAGAGAAGUAGAUUGGAUCCCAGGAACAACCCAAUUUCUACAAAAAAAGACCUGAGUCAUAUCACAUGUUUCAGGUGCAAAAAUUCAGGACACUACUUCAAUGAUUGCCCAAAAGGGAAGAUGAGGACCCCAGGAGGCUAUAUAAUCACAAGGAAACCUCGAGAUAUGUCAGAAGUAAUAUGUUUCCGUUGUGAUGAAGCAGGGCACUUUGCCAGAGAAUCCCCCAAGGAGACGGAGACUUGUGAUAAAUAGUUGAGUGCAACGAGAAAAAUAGAAGUAGUAGUGUGGACAUUUCUUUUAUUAGUGAGGUGUCGGGUUGAGGCAUGUAAUGGAAUGCAGGAGAUUGUAAUAAUUUGAGAAUCAAUAAAGUUAGCAUCAUUGGUAUUGAUUUGGAUUUUAUGAGUUGUUACGCUAUGAAGAAAGAUUUUGACCAUUUUCGAGGAUAUGAGAAAUAUGGUCUAUGGAAGAUUGUGCAUUUUAAAGGUGGUAGUACCCCGUGAGGAAACUUGACACUUGGAAAAAGGUAAUGAUAUUCCACGAAGUGGAUUUCGAACAAAAUAAGUAUGAGUUUUAUCUCGAUAUGUUGGAUACCCCAAUAAUAUGAGGGUAUGGAGUAUUAUUGGAUGUAAAGGAGGUAGUCUAUGAAAUUGGAGACAGAGCAUGUCUUCGUGUGUUCCCUCUGCGAGGAGUUAAACGAUUUGGAGUUAAGGAAUGUUAGCCCCGAGAUUUGUAGGACCAUACCGAGUUUUGGAGCGUAUGGGAAAAGUGGCCAACAAGUUGGAGUCACCCGAAGGACUGUCAGGAGUUCAUGAUGUGUUUCAUGUUUCCCAGUUGAAGAAGUGCCAUGCAGAGAUGGCCAAUAUUCCCCUGUAAGGACGCUUGACCCUGGAAAGGAUAAUGAUGUUCCACGAAGUGGAGUAUGGACUUCAUAAGUAUAAGUUUUUUUUAUCUCGGUAUGUGGGAUAUCCCCUGAGGAUGAAGAGAUGAAUUACUAUUGGAUAUAAAGGAGGUAUGAUGUUGGAAAUAUGGAUCAAUGGAAUUCCAUGAUGAGUCUGAGUAAUCAUGUCCUAGUUUGGUGCCAAUAGAAGAAAGGAAGACAGUACAAUUGGAUGGAUUUAAGAAUACCAGGAAGUUGGAUGUUGGAUUAAGGAUCAGUUGCCCGAUGAUGAGUUCAAGGAACUACAAGUGAUGAGAUGGGCCAUAACCCACAGGCCCCAGGAGCUGCCAAGAAGCAAGCACAUUCUUGCUGAAGGAAAAAGCCAGGAAGAAGUUACGAUUUUAUCGACAAACGAUCUUAUAGGAGUUACGCGAAACCUGAGGGUUGGGAAGGAACGAUAGAUGUUUGUUUGGCUUGCAGAAUCCAUGGAUUUAUCUGAACUUGGUUCGUCGACAAGAGAAAUUCUACAAUGCUUGCGAGGAUGACCGAGUCUUAGAAUGCGAGAUUCGCUAAACCAUAUACAAGGUAAUGAUUUGGGUGCGGGAUGGAUUGAUCACCAUACCGACUUACUCUUAUUGUUCGCUUUGCAAUAUGGGAUGGUAAAUCUGAGUGACCUACCUAUAGUAGAGAGACGACGGUAUUAAACCUUGCUUGAACGUUAGAAUGGUAUAAGAAUGUUUCCCUUGUACACGGCAGUUGAUGCCAAUCGUAGGUUAUACGGUGAGGAUCAACCAGACCCACUUCCUGCAGGAGAAACCAUAAAUCGUUGACUACCAUGAGAUAUCGAUAGUUGUUUAGUUUUGGCGCCAGACCCAUCAGCUAAGAAGACCCAGUCAUGGAAGAACCAUACCAAGAUGAAAGGAUACAGAAGAAUUGAGGAAAAAGGUUAUGCCACUACCGAAAGAGCCCAUUAUCCUUACGAUCUGAGGAAAAAGGUUUGUACAAAAAUAUUCUAAGCGGCAUGAGGCUUCAAAAACAUGUAACAUCCCAAAAUUCUAAAUUUUGAAAUGUUAUAAUAACUAGAUAGAUUUGAUUGUUUGUUGGAUUGUUGUGUGAUUGAUUGACUGAAAGUGAGUGAAUUCGAAAUCUUUUGAAAGUUAAAUGAGAGGGAAUAAAAGGACUUUCCCAAACUUUCAUUUUGCUUUUAUGAUCUCCAUGAAUUCAAAUUCUUUUCAUCACAAAACCCUCGAGAGAAGAUGACAUGACUUCUUCCAUUUAUUUAAAUGAAAAGGUGUGUUGAAAAUAUUUGAAUAUCAUUUGAAAAUAUUUCCAAUUCAGAAACUUCAAGCAACUCAAUGAUUUUCAUGAGAGAAGAUAAAAUGACUUCUUCAAAACAUAUGAAAUAUGAGUUGGAAGUUUAAAAGGAUGUAAUUUAAAGUCCUUUUGGAAAUUAUUUUCAAUUUGGAGUAUUUGGGUUUUAUUCAAAUUAUUUUUCUCCAAAAUAAAAAUAUAUGGAAAAUAGGCUAACAUGAUUCCCUACAACAGAAAAUUGGAGAGAAAUAAAUUUGAAUUAAUUUUGGUAUUUUGAAAAUGAUUUUUAUUGGAUUUUAGUAGAGCAGUAGCACUCUUUGAUUUAUUUUAAUUUUGUGGAUUUUAUUUAAUGCUAGAAAAAUGCGCAUGCUGUAGGAAAUCUUUUUCUGAAAAUUUUGAUAUAUAAUAUGCCUAUGUACAAUUUUAUUUUUGUUUUCGUUAUACAGUUUUCCUUUCUGUUUCUAAAAAAAGAAAAAAACUGUACGUGCCGCCCAAAUUUUAUCCGUCGCUUACGUGCACAGUGCACCCAUGCCGGCCCAUGUUGUUUUUUUUGUUAUGUUUGCAGAAAAAAAAAUAUUUUUUCUUUUUCUUAAUUUCUUUUCCUUCUUUUAGCGUUUGAAAAAGAAAACUGCCGCACGCACGCGCGCGGCCGGCCGAGGCUUUAGGCCCAUGCGCUUUUCUCUUCUCUUUUUUGUUUUUCGUCUACGUUUAGUCCCACAUUGCUUAGCCUUCGACCUUUAAUCCUUUUUUCCACCAAUAAAUAUAGACCCAUAGAGUCUCCAAAAAUCAUCCGAUUCGGGUUAAAUCAAAAUUUUGGUUUGACUAGAUUCCUUAAAGAAAAAUAUAUUUCUACUCUCUGGCGGGACUUUUGAAAGUUGUCUCCUCACUCCGAAGUCGUCUUUUAGGUAUAUUUAUUCGUUCUGUGUAUUUAUACGUUAGACCUAUUUUUUUUAUUUUUUUAGCCGUAGCUAUUUUUCUUCUGCAAAACAGCUUGGCCUUGAUUUUUUAAAUAGCCAUAACUUUUUACUCGUUCAUCCAAAUUAGAUGAAACCAGCGCCUAUAGUUUCGUCUUGUUUUCACCUAUCCAGUUAACCUGUCACGUGAACUUUUCGAAAUUUUAAAAUUUCGAAAUUUGUUCAAAUUCAUAUUCAAACUUCUUUUGUUCAUAACUUAAGUUCCGUAACUCCGUUUGAGUUGAUUCUUUUUGCAAAGCGAAGAUCUUGACCUAAACUUUCUGAUAAGGCCAAAUCCAUCUAAUUUUGGUACUGCUAGAAACUGUUUUAUGUUGCAAGAGUUAUUUGCUUGUUUUCGAAGUUUUCUGUGAUCUUUUCUUCGAUUCUUUUGCUUGAUUGCUUAUGUGUGGUUACUAUUGCUUGCUCAUGAUAGAUUGACCGGAGUGUGACGAGUAGAUCUAUCCAGAGUAUUGAGUGCGAAUCAUCUUCAUCAACAUUGCAGGCAAGUUCACACUUUGAUCAUACCUCUUUUACUACCCAGUUUUAUUGCAUUAGACAAAUCCUCAAACAUUGCAUGGUUAGGAUCUAAAUUAAUUGUGGGUAUUGGGAAGUAGUUGAGGUAGUACCUAUUGCCCUGUUUAUUAUCAAACCCUUGGGAGUUACUUCUACGUUUGCUUAUAUCGCCAUGCUAUGCUAGUAGACGUGGAUUGGGUUUGAGAGAUAUUCACGACAGAUGUGAGAUUGUUAAUUAAUGGUUUACUUAAGGUGGCAAC
rnacentral:lncRNA from 1 species